rnacentral:rRNA from 1 species
ACUCCUACGGGAGGCAGCAGUGGGGAAUUUUGGACAAUGGGGGCAACCCUGAUCCAGCCAUGCCGCGUGAGUGAAGAAGGCCUUCGGGUUGUAAAGCUCUUUCGGUGGGAACGAAACGGUUACAGCUAACACCUGUGACUACUGACGGUACUCACAGAAGAAGCACCGGCUAACUACGUGCCAGCAGCCGCGGUAAUACGUAGGGUGCGAGCGUUAAUCGGAAUUACUGGGCGUAAAGCGUGCGCAGGCGGUUACUUAAGUCAGGUGUGAAAGCCCUGGGCUUAACCUAGGAAUUGCGCUUGAGACUGGGUAGCUUUGAGUGUGGCAGAGGGAGGUGGAAUUCCACGUGUAGCAGUGAAAUGCGUAGAGAUGUGGAGGAACACCGAUGGCGAAGGCAGCCUCCUGGGCCAGCACUGACGCUCAUGCACGAAAGCGUGGGGAGCAAACAGGAUUAGAUACCCUGGUAGUCCACGCCCUAAACGAUGUCAACUGGUUGUUGGUGGGGUUAAACCCAUUAGUAACGAAGCUAACGCGUGAAGUUGACCGCCUGGGGAGUACGGCCGCAAGGUUAAAACUCAAAGGAAUUGACGG